rnacentral:lncRNA from 1 species
GACGAUAGCUUGCGUACGAGCUGAGUAGAACUCACCACGCUGGAGUCCCUCGCCGGCGGCGUCGGAGGGCGAGGAUUCGAGCGGCCGAGGCCAAGAGCAACGCCAAGCGCCGGUGGUGACCUAGCGCCGAUGGGCUCCUACGGGGUGUCCAGCACUGCGUAGAUGUUUGCGGAGCACGCGAGGGGGCGUCGACAAGACGAGGAACCGCGGCGCCGGAAGGGUGGGCGCGGCUGCGCCGGGACGGAACGUCGGGGUCGGCAGGCGGUGGCCGGAGGGGGAAGAGUCGGGUCAAAGCCAGGAACUGCACGGAGGAUGAGGACCCACG